rnacentral:tRNA from 1 species
UCAAAUUGCAAGUUUGAAGACGUACCAUAGGUGGUACCGGGGCUUCUCCCGUUU